rnacentral:rRNA from 1 species
GACGAACGCUGGCGGCGGGCUUAACACAUGCAAGUCGAACGGUGAACGAGGGAGCUUGCUCCCUCCGGAUCAGUGGCGAACGGGUGAGUAACACGUGAGCAAUCUGCCCCGAACUCUGGGAUAAGCGUUGGAAACGACGUCUAAUACCGGAUACGACGCGGGAGGGCAUCCUCUCCGCGUGGAAAGAACUUCGGUUCGGGAUGAGCUCGCGGCCUAUCAGCUUGUUGGUGAGGUAACGGCUCACCAAGGCGACGACGGGUAGCCGGCCUGAGAGGGUGACCGGCCACACUGGGACUGAGACACGGCCCAGACUCCUACGGGAGGCAGCAGUGGGGAAUAUUGCACAAUGGGCGCAAGCCUGAUGCAGCAACGCCGCGUGAGGGACGACGGCCUUCGGGUUGUAAACCUCUUUUAGCAGGGAAGAAGCGAAAGUGACGGUACCUGCAGAAAAAGCACCGGCUAACUACGUG